GAUGAACGCUGGCGGCGUGCCUAAUACAUGCAAGUCGAACGAUGAAGCCGGAGCUUGCUCUGGUGAAUUAGUGGCGAACGGGUGAGUAACACGUGAGUAACCUGCCCUUGACUCUGGGAUAACUGCUAGAAAUGGUAGCUAAUACCGGAUACGACCCUCGGCGGCAUCGCCAGGGGGUGGAAAGAAUUUCGGUCAAGGAUGGACUCGCGGCCUAUCAGCUAGUUGGUGAGGUAACGGCUCACCAAGGCGUCGACGGGUAGCCGGCCUGAGAGGGUGACCGGCCACACUGGGACUGAGACACGGCCCGGACUCCUACGGGAGGCAGCAGUGGGGAAUAUUGCACAAUGGGCGCAAGCCUGAUGCAGCAACGCCGCGUGAGGGAUGACGGCCUUCGGGUUGUAAACCUCUUUUAGUAGGGAAGAAGCGAAAGUGACGGUACCUGCAGAAAAAGCACCGGCUAACUACGUGCCAGCCGCCGCCGUAA
rnacentral:rRNA from 1 species